AUGAUCAACACGGGAAAGUUGCGUGUCUACAACAGCUUUCCAUCGGUAUAUCACUUGCUCAAUUCCGAUGAGUGUUCCGGUGCGUGGAUGGAGAGCUACGGGCAAAAAAAGCACGUGAAAAACAGAGUGAAGUUCAAGGUUUCAUACCGAGAAGUUCAGGUAUGUUUCGCGAUAAAGGCAGAACGAAUGAUCUCGCCGUUUUUGAAAUUACUUGAAAACGGUUGGGAGUCAGAGAAAACUGUCAACACGAAAAAGUUUCGCAUUUUCCGUAGCUUUUCAACGGUAUAUUAUUUGCGCCAUUCCGAUAAAGUUUGUACAAAAUAUGGCGAAAAUAUAUUUUUCGCGAUUUUCGAAACUGACUUAAAACUGUAA
rnacentral:rRNA from 1 species